rnacentral:rRNA from 1 species
GGGACGAACGCUGGCGGCGUGCUUAACACAUGCAAGUCGAGCGGUAAGGCCUUUCGGGGUACACGAGCGGCGAACGGGUGAGUAACACGUGGGUGAUCUGCCCUGCACUCUGGGAUAAGCCUGGGAAACUGGGUCUAAUACCGGAUAUGACCUGCUCUCGCAUGGGGGUGGGUGGAAAGAUUUAUCGGUGCAGGAUGGGCCCGCGGCCUAUCAGCUUGUUGGUGGGGUAAUGGCCUACCAAGGCGACGACGGGUAGCCGACCUGAGAGGGUGACCGGCCACACUGGGA